rnacentral:rRNA from 1 species
AUGGUCUCAAGAUCGAGCGCCGAGGCCGAGUACAGGGCUGUGGCCAACACCGCCGUGGAGUGCUCCUGGCUACGACAACUCCUUCAGGAGCUGCUAUGUGAGGUUCCCAAGGCCACGCUUGUCUACUGUGACAACGUCUCCGCGGUCUACCUCGCUGCCAACCAUGUCCAUCAUCGCCGGACGAAGCAUAUUGAGCUCAACAUCCACUUCGUUCGGGAGCAUGUCGCACUUGGUCGUGUUGGAGUUUUGCAUGUGCCCACCAAUCAACAGUUCGCCGAUGUUAUGACGAAGGGACUACCUACCUCGACUUUCGAGGUCGGUGCAGUCUUUUCGUCACCGGCGACGCUUCGACUGCGGGGGGUGUUGAACAUGUUUAUACGUAUGUAG